GAUGAAGAACGUAGCGAAAUGCGAUAAGUAAUGUGAAUUGCAGAAUUCAGUGAAUCAUCGAAUCUUUGAACGCACAUUGCGCCCGCCAGUAUUCUGGCGGGCAUGCCUGUUCGAGCGUCAUUUCAACCAUCAAGCCCCCGGCUUGUGUUGGGGACCUGCGGCUGCCGCAGGCCCUGAAAACCAGUGGCGGGCUCGCUAGUCACUCCGAGCGUAGUAAUACAUCUCGCUCAGGGCGUGCUGCGGGUUCCGGCCGUUAAAAAGCCUUAUUUACCCAAGGAUGACCUCGGAUCAGGUAGGAAGACCCGCUGAACUUAAGCAUAUCAAUAAGCGGAGGA
rnacentral:misc_RNA from 1 species